rnacentral:rRNA from 1 species
UACGUAGGUGGCAAGCGUUGUCCGGAUUUACUGGGCGUAAAGAGCGCGCAGGCGGUCGUAUAAGUCGAAUGUGAAAGCCCCCGGCUCAACUGGGGAGGGUCAUUCGAUACUGUUCGACUCGAAGGCAGGAGAGGGAAGUGGAAUUCCGGGUGUAGUGGUGAAAUGCGUAGAUAUCCGGAGGAACACCAGUGGCGAAGGCAGCCCCCUGGGCCAACACUGACGCUCAGGCACGAAAGCGUGGGGAGCAAACAGG